UACGUAGGGUGCGAGCGUUAAUCGGAAUUACUGGGCGUAAAGCGUGCGCAGGCGGUUGUGCAAGACCGAUGUGAAAUCCCCGGGCUCAACCUGGGAACUGCAUUUGUGACUGCAUAGCUAGAGUGCGGCAGAGGGGGAUGGAAUUCCGCGUGUAGCAGUGAAAUGCGUAGAUAUGCGGAGGAACACCGAUGGCGAAGGCAAUCCCCUGGGCCUGCACUGACGCUCAUGCACGAAAGCGUGGGGAGCAAACAGG
rnacentral:rRNA from 1 species